ACCUCAAUGGAAAAAAAAAAGGGUAAACUUCAAAUACCACUAUAUUGUGGUUUCGCGCUUUUUCAAUUUAGUAUUCUAUGAUUUAAUUAAAGUGUAUUAUUUUUGUACCAUGUGAUUUCAUUUUUUUUUCUGCCAGUAUUUCUGUUAACUUUUCGUUAAAUCAUAUAGAAAAAACUUCAAAUACUCCACCUAUGAUUUAUCGAAUAUUUACUUUAGUAUUCUAUGGUUUACCAAAUUUCCAUAUAGUUUUUAACUUUAUCACUGAUUUAACGAAAAAAAUUAAUGAAAGAGAUAACGAAAAGAAAAAAAUAAAACCAUAGGGUAUUAAAGUGAGUAAGUGCGAAACCAUAUUCACUUUAGUUUUUGAAGUUC
rnacentral:lncRNA from 1 species